GUCAUCUUCAAAUAUGUCAUUAGGCCGAGGGCACGCCUGCCUGGGCGUCACAC
rnacentral:rRNA from 1 species